rnacentral:rRNA from 1 species
AGAGUUCGAUUCUGGCUCAGAACGAACGCUGACGGCGUGGUUCAGGCAUGCAAGUCGAACGAUCCUAGCUUGCUAGGAUAGUGGCAAAAGGGUGAGUAACACGUGGAUAAUCUACCCUAAACUUGGGGAUAACACUGUGAAAGCGGUGCUAAUACCGAAUGUGAUGUAAUUGUGCUUCAGUUACAUUAAAGAUGGCCUCUAUUUAUAUGCUAUCGGUUAAGGAUGAGUCUGCGUCCUAUUAGCUUGUUGGUGAGGUAAUGGCUCACCAAGGCUACGAUGGGUACCCGGGCUGAGAGGCUGGUCGGGCACAUUGGGACUGAGACACUGCCCAAACUCCUACGGGAGGCUGCAGUCGAGAAUCUUUCGCAAUGGGGGAAACCCUGACGACGCGACGCCGUGUGAGCGAUGAAGGCCUUCGGGUUGUAAAGCUCUGUCACUGGGGAGGAAAAAUAUAUGAGCUAAUACCUUUUAUAUUUGACAUUACCCGGAGAGGAAGCCCCGGCUAACUCCGUGCCAGCAGCCGCGGUAAUACGGAGGGGGCAUGCGUUGUUCGGAUUUACUGGGCGUAAAGGGUGCGCAGGCGGAUAGGAAAGUGAAUCGUGAAAUCCUGAUGCUCAACAUUAGAAUUGCGUUUCAAACUACCUGUCUAGAGUAUGGAAGAAGUAAGUGGAAUUCUCAGUGUAGCGGUGAAAUGCGUAGAUAUUGAGAAGAACACCAUAAGUGAAAACGGCUUACUAGUCCAAUACUGACGCUCAUGCACGAAGGCUAGGGGAGCAAACAGGAUUAGAUACCCUGGUAGUCCUAGCAGUAAACGAUGUCAACUUGGUGUGGGAGGUAUCGACUCUUUCCGUGCCGAAGCUAACGCGUUAAGUUGACCGCCUGGGGAGUACGGCCGCAAGGCUAAAACUCAAAGAAAUUGACGGGGGCCCGCACAAGCGGUGGAGCAUGUGGUUCAAUUCGAAGCAACGCGAAGAACCUUACCUGGGCUUGACAUGUACUUGACCGAGUGUGAAAGCACUCUUCCCUUCGGGGCGGGUACACAGGUGUUGCAUGGCUGUCGUCAGCUCGUGUUGUGAGAUGUUGGGUUAAGUCCCGCAACGAGCGCAACCCCUACUUCCAGUUACCAGCGAGUAAUGUCGGGGACUCUGGAGGGACUGCCGGUGAUGAACCGGAGGAAGGUGGGGAUGACGUCAAGUCAUUAUGGCCCUUACGUCCAGGGCUACACACGUGCUACAAUGGUCGAUACAAUUGGAUGCAAUGCCGCGAGGUGGAGCUAAUCCACGAAAAUCGAUCUCAUUUCGGAUUGGAGUCUGCAACUCGACUCCAUGAAGUAGGAAUCGCUAGUAAUGGCAGGUCAGCUACACUGCCGUGAAUACGUUCCCGGGCCUUGUACACACCGCCCGUCACAUCACGAAAGUUGAUCCCACCCCAAGUCGCUGUACUAACCCUUCACAGGGAUGAAAGCGCCUAAGGUGAGAUUGAUGAUUGGGAUGAAGUCGUAACAAGGCA